CAAAGGACCAGAUUCCCCAGCUAGGGGUGAGCUCCGGUCUCCAAGUGGAACACGGAUGAGAGAAAGCUUUAAGGUGUGAACCAGGUCCUCGGGUCUCUGUCUUGCGUCUCUGCUCCAUCCCGGCCAGCUCCACCCCGGCCUGCUGCAGGCACAGCAGCUCCAGCUCCAGCCGAGGAACAGAGAUCUGCCAAGGACUGGCUCACACGAGACCCUUUUGCCCGCCAGAAUAAAUCCCUAUCCAUAAGAGGAAGGAUGAAACCUGUUGAUGUGGCCGGGCCUGAGCAGGUGAGCAUC
rnacentral:lncRNA from 1 species